ACUUCAUGAUUUGGGCAUUAAGCGAGCUUACCAUUAAACCUCUCCCAAGCUUCAAACAACGACUCUCCAUUCAUUUUCUGAAAAU
rfam:Capsicum annuum cultivar Zunla-1 unplaced genomic scaffold scaffold6851, whole genome shotgun sequence